rnacentral:misc_RNA from 1 species
CACCAAUCAAGCCUGGCUUGGUGUUGGGCGAGGAGCGCGCGUCGCUCCCGCCCCCAAAUCCCCGGCUGGACGGUUCGAUUCUCAGCGUUGUGGUCAUUCAAUUCGCUGCGGGAGACGACCGGACGUCGCCGUUAAAAAACCAUUUUAUCACA